AAAUAGAUACCCGGGUAGUCCACGCCGUAAACGAUGAGUGCUAAGUGUUAGAGGGUUUCCGCCCUUUAGUGCUGCAGCUAACGCAUUAAGCACUCCGCCUGGGGAGUACGGUCGCAAGACUGAAACUCAAAGGAAUUGACGGGGGCCCGCACAAGCGGUGGAGCAUGUGGUUUAAUUCGAAGCAACGCGAAGAACCUUACCAGGUCUUGACAUCCUCUGACAACUCUAGAGAUAGAGCGUUCCCCUUCGGGGGACAGAGUGACAGGUGGUGCAUGGUUGUCGUCAGCUCGUGUCGUGAGAUGUUGGGUUAAGUCCCGCAACGAGCGCAACCCUUGAUCUUAGUUGCCAGCAUUUAGUUGGGCACUCUAAGGUGACUGCCGGUGACAAACCGGAGGAAGGUGGGGAUGACGUCAAAUCAUCAUGCCCCUUAUGACCUGGGCUACACACGUGCUACAAUGGAUGGUACAAAGGGCUGCAAGACCGCGAGGUCAAGCCAAUCCCAAUAAAACCAUUCUCAGUUCGGA
rnacentral:rRNA from 1 species